UUCCCAAGCAGCCUCUUUGGACAAAUGUGUACAUUCAAAACCAUGCUAAGGCUUUGGUUCCUUUGUUUUGGAGCCGUGUACAGGUUGGGCCUAAGUCAUUCCUCCGAGGACCUUUGGACGAUUCAAAAGCCAAUAAGACGAGACCACGACUCUACUGUGAACUUUCUGAUUGUCCAGCGGAACUACUUCACCCCCCUGAAGAUUGUAACGUGAAUUCCACAUUGCCCUUCACUCUUCAGGUGUCUCAUUAGCCAGAUUGACCACUAAGUAGUUAUCUUGUGUGGAGAAUAUUAUUUU